GACGAACGCUGGCGGCGUGCUUAAUACAUGCAAGUCGAGCGAGGUUACUGUUUUGGAUCCCUUCGGGGUGAAGAAGCUUUAACCUAGCGGCGGACGGGUGAGUAACGCGUGGGUAACCUACCCCAAAGUCCGGGAUAACAGCGGGAAACCGCUGCUAAUACCGGAUGCCUUUACCUUGGGGCAUCUUGAGGUAAAGAAAGGUAACGCUUUGGGAUGGGCCCGCGUCCCAUUAGCUAGUUGGUGAGGUAACGGCUCACCAAGGCGACGAUGGGUAGCCGGCCUGAGAGGGUGGACGGCCACACUGGGACUGAGACACGGCCCAGACUCCUACGGGAGGCAGCAGUAGGGAAUAUUGCGCAAUGGACGGAAGUCUGACGCAGCGACGCCGCGUGAGCGAUGAAGGUCUUCGGAUCGUAAAGCUCUGUCCUUGGGAAGAAGGCGAAAGCUUGACGGUACCCAAGAAGAAAGCCCCGGCUAACUACGUG
rnacentral:rRNA from 1 species